CAAGAAGCUGCCACAAGAAGAACUGAAUGGAGGGGAGUUCGAGGAGGGGAGGGAGAAGGAUGCUGUGCUGUUCCUGGCCAGGACAGAAGCCCGUCUUGGGAAGUGACACUUGAGUAACAGAGCCGCCCCCCACCGCCCUCCACUGCCAACUCUCAGCACCGCCUCCCACCGGUUCGAUCCUCCUUUGGCCCUCUCCACGCCUAACUCUAAGGAAAAAGGAUGAAGGGUGAGCCACAGCUCUCCCGGCUUCUCAGGCUGGGCCCUCUCUGCCUGGUCCCGGGAAAUCAGCCCACAGGAGGCCCAGGCGCUUCUGCCCAGAGCUCCAGAUCCCCUCUCCCGAGACAAUGGCUCGGAGAGGGAGGAAGAGCAGCCGCUCGAGCUUUGUGCACAGGGCGGCCCCACAAAACCAUUGUCUCGGCAGCAGGACGGACAAAGGUUUGUAUCUUCAGCUUCUGUGCCAAGUCGUUCACCCCCGUGGACGAAACCAACCCUCCGCAUUUCCUUCUAAUAAACAACGUGAUCCGCAAUCUGGCCCCAAGCUGAGAAUCUGUAUCGCGUUGUAACAAAAGCCUGCUGGAGCGCACGGAAUGGGUUAUCUAGUCCCCUUACCUGUCCCAGAACCACCCAAACAGUCCGCCGACAGAUAACCACUCACUCCCUGGCUCUUCUCCGAGGUCCCUCUCCAAGCGCUCUCGCUCUGACUCCUUUCACACUCAGGAAUAGGGAAAAGGUUUCCUUUAAUACUUACCAGGUCCCUGGUGGGUAGCAAUCAUUAACAGCCACACAGGCCGACCAGCCUUAACCCCUUCGGAGCUGGGCUGCCUCCCGCUGGCUGAUGGACAGCCCUGGCCCCUCUUCCCAGCCCCGGGCAAAGUGGUAACUCCCACAUCGAUGCCAUCCACCUGAGUAAUGCCGGCCUCCCAUGCGGAGAGCGCGAGCCCUCUAGUCCCACCCAGGCUGCCCCGCCUGAUUGGAGCGCACUGGCAACCUGAGGCGCUUGGCUCUGGCAUGGUGCCCAAUUGGAUGAGCCCACAUUAUGAAAUAUUUGCCUAGCAGGCCAAUGGAGGAGCCGGGAUCUGGGGGAGGGCAUGAUAUUUUUAUUUACUCCUGGAAGAACAAAGGUAGUCCCAGCAUCCCAAGCCCUGGGAUGGGAAGUGAGAGGAAGGGGCUUUCGGGCAGGUGCGCACAUCUCUGGCUUCUCUGUCUAGGUAACAGGGCACCAUCCGUGAAGACUUCUGGGCAUUUCAGCUCCUGGCUGGCUAGCUAGAGCGUUUCUUUCCCUUCAUAAUUCCCUGCCUCACUCAGGAGUUUGGAGAGUGGAACCAGGAAUUGGAAGAGACACCAAGAAAAGAAAUACCUUGACAGGCAGAGGGCUGCUUGGACCUACAGUAAGGAUGCCAGGCUCGAGUGGUCUUCUUCACAGGUCCUAGUGGGUGAGCCGGCUGCUCCGCGCCUUGCCAGCCUGGGUCUAGUGCCGGCAUCUCCUCCUUAUCACCCCUGGUUUCUGUUUGCCUAUCAGUAGCCCGGCCACUGUGGCUCAGGACCCUGGCUGAAGUAAGCCCAGGGGGCCUUAUCUUAUCUCCUGGGCUGCCUUCCCAGUGGCUUGUUGGCUGCCUGGUCCUAGUCUCUUAAAGGGGCUGCACUGCAUUCCCACUCAGUCUGAUCGCCAGAACACCCCCAGAAAUCUAGAAGAGCACUGCCGGUGGAGGGUCCGAUUCAUACCACCCCCUCCUCACACACCCUCUCCCAGCUACCUGGCUGCAGGGCUGCUGCUGGAAUGACUUACUGACUUAAAACAGGGAAAGAUGCUGAUGUUGUUACACGCCUCUUUAAAUGCUUAUCAUAUCAUGCAAAUGCCCAGCACCUCGGUAUUUCCAGGCUCCUGCUCUGUUAAACUGAGUUUUUAAAAGGGGGGAGGGGCUCAGCAUACAAAUUCAAUAUAGAAAAAUCCGUAGUGCCUCUAUAUACUAGCAGCAAACAAUGAAGACUGAAAUUUUUAAAACACUAUCUCUAAUAGGAUUAAAAACAUGAAAUGUUUAAGGAAUAAUCUUGACAUAAGAUGAGGGAGACAGACCUACAUACAAAAAUUUAUAAGACACUGCUGAGAGAAAUUAAAUAAAAUAUAAAUAAGAAGAGAUAUAUCCACUUUGCUUGGAUCUCCAAUAGCUAAGUUUAUCAAUCCUCCCCAUAUUUUUCUACAGAUUGAACACAGUCUUUGGAAGUUCUUUGUAAACACUGGCACACUGAUUGGGAAAUUCAUAGGGAAAUGCAAGGGACCUCUAAUAACUAAAAAUCUUUCAAAAGAAAGUACAAAGUUAGGGGUGCCUGGCUGGCUCGGUGGA